rnacentral:rRNA from 1 species
AUGGAGGAGGACUUCGAGCGCGCGGUGGAGGACGGCCUCAGGCUCUCCAAGCGGCUCGUCCUCCCGGGCGGUGCGGCCCCGCCGCGCCCGCACGCCGGGAUGGACCGCUACGGCGCGCCGGACGCCGCCGCGGCGUCGUCGCUGCUGCCCGUGGCCCCCAUGGCGUACGCGGUCGUCACGGACCCCGCCGCCGUCGACAGCCCCGACGUGCCCAGCUACCAGCCCCACGUCUACGGCCGGCUCAGCCCGCCCGCGCUCAUCCCGCUCCAGAUGCGCGAGGUCGAGCUGCGGGUGGACUGCGCCGCCGGGUGCGCCACGGCCGAGGUCACCCUCGUCGCGCGCUGGUGGCUGCACUGCCUCACCCGCAGCCGCGACUGCGACUGCCGCCUCGUCGUGCCCAUGGGCGAGGAGGGUUCAAUUCUAGGCGCUGAGGUUACUGUUGGGAAAAAAUCGUACAAUACUCAUGUAGUUGAUGUAGAUGGUAACAGUCCUGUGAAGAUUGUUAAAACUGAGAGUGGUGGUAUUCUGAAGAGCCAGUUUUUUCAAUUGACAAUACCACAGGUUGUAGGAGGAGAAGACAUCUUUGCCACAAUUAGAUGGUCACAGAAGUUGUUGUAUGAUAAUGGACAGUUUUCUGUUGAUAUUCCGUUUCGGUUUCCACAUUAUGUGAACCCUUUACCUAAACUUUUCACAAAAAAGGAGAAAAUUCAGUUAACUGUGAAUAGUGGUGUGAGUAAAGAGGUUUUAUUGCAGGGGACCAGCCAUCCCUUGAAGGAAAAAACCAGGCAGGGUGAGAAAUUGUUUUUCUUGCAUGAAGCUGUGGUUGAGAAUUGGUCUAUCAAAGAUUUCACCUUUUCAUAUAGUGUUUACUCAGGUGAUGUGUCCGGUGGAGUGCUUGUGCAGCGCUCAACAUUACGUGACUAUGAUGACAGAGACAUUUUCAGCAUUUUUCUCUUACCUGGAAAUAACCAGAAAAGGAAGAUCUUCAGAAAGGCAGUUGUGUUUAUUGUUGAUACAAGUGGAAGCAUGCAAGGAAAGCCUAUUGAGAAUGUUAAGAAUGCCAUCUCAACUGCUGUUUCUGAGCUUGAGGAAGGAGAUUACUUCAACAUAGUAACAUUUAAUGAUGAACUUCAUUCAUUCUCAUCCUGUUUGGAGAAAGUAAAUGGCAAAACAACAGAGAAUGCAAUAAACUGGAUGAACUUAAAUUUCGUCGCCCAGGGUGGCACUGACAUCAUGCAUCCUUUAACCGAGGCAUUGGCGUUGCUGUCAAACUCUGAUGGCGCACUUCCACAAAUCUUUCUUGUGACCGAUGGUUCAGUUGAGGAUGAACGGAAUAUCUGUCGCACUGUGAAAACUCAGCUCACAAACAAAGGAUCUAUUUCCCCUCGGAUUUCCACUUUUGGACUAGGUUCAUACUGUAACCACUAUUUCUUGCGGAUGUUGGCAUCAAUUGGCAAGGGGCAUUACGAUGCUGCGUUUGAUACAGGAUCAAUUGAGGGUCGAAUACUUCAAUGGUUCCAGAAAGCUUCAUCCACAAUCGUGGCAGACAUUUCAAUUGAUGUCACAAAGCAUACCCAAGAAUUUGAAGUGGAUUGUGAAUAUAUUCCUGACAUUUCAGCAAAAUAUCCAUUAUUUGUAUCUGGAAGAUUCCGAGGUGAACUGCCGGAGACUCUUUAUGCUGAGGGCUAUUUGUCUGACAUGAGUAAGAUAUCGAUUGAAUUGAAGGUCCAACAUAUAAAGGACAUACCUCUUGACAAAGUGUUGGCAAAGCAACAGAUGGACCUUCUAACAGCAAAAGCAUGGCUUUCUGAAAACAAGCAACUGGAGCAAAUGGUGGCGAAAAUGAGCAUACAAAAUGGCAUUCCUUCGGAGUACACACGGACGGUCCUACUUCAAACCAUCAUGGAAAAAAUAGAUCCAGCACAACAGGGAAAACGGAAACCAAAGAAACCAGAGGAGCCUUCAGCGACACCGCUGCAGGGCCUGACACUCGGCUUCGGCAACGUGCCGGCGACGACGGAGAACCUAACCUCGGGGUUCGGUGACACAAGGGCGCCGGAUAAAUUCGAGAUGUUCGGGAAGGCGGUCGGCGGCUGCUGCGGCCGCGUGGCGGACAGCUGCUGCUGCUGCAUGUGCUUCAUCAACUGCUGCAGCAAGAUGAACGACCGGUGCGCCAUCGUGCUGGUGCAGAUGUGCGCCGCCCUCUCCUUCCUCGGCUGCUUCGAGUGCUGCUCGGAGCUGUGCUGCGGCGGGGGCGGCUCGGACUGA